AUUGUACAGAUUUAUUAAAAACAGAACAGUUAUUUCACAAAGGAAUAUAGGAACAGAACCAGAAACAUGCUCUGCAAAGGAUCAGACUUCACGCGUGCAUAUGUUGAUUGUGCACAGAUUUAUUAACAUGGAUUAAGGCAUACAGCAUGCAUGCUAGAUACCAGCAAUUCUGGAUUUUCAUCACUUUCAAUUCUCAUUCAAAUCAAGCCUAAAAUUGAAUAAAAUGAAAUUGUUAGUCACUUCAGAAUUUGACACAUUGGUCAGUUAAAUUUAAUCUUGUAUCUACAGCCAUUUCCCACCAUAAAAAGACAACGAAAAUGUGCGAUAUCUAAAUCUCAACGUCUCCAGUAUCCCUUCCACCAGGGAUUGUAAAGCCAAUCCCUAUCAAAUUCCAUACAACAAUCACUAUCAGGCUCCACACAAGAGAGAGAAAGGGACAGGUGAUGUUACAGCCAAGGCAACCAGGUGUGAAUGUGUGAUCACACUAAACCAACAGCCUCAUGUUUGACUAACAUGUACACCCAUCUAGGAAAUGGAAAACUAGUUCCGGACUACUGGGCCACAGAAAUCCAUGACUAACACUGAGCCAAUUAUAACUAAUCUUUUCCCUGUAUGCUAUUGUAAAAGUUUGCAAUUCCACGUAUGUCAUUAAAAAAAGUUGAAUGGCCACUGGUUCGAACUUGUUUGCCCUCCACAACACUCCCAUUAGAUUUGGCUCUAACAGCAAACUGCGGUGAAAAAAAUCCAAAAUACCCUUGAAUGUGCGAUUAUUUUUUAACAUUUUAACGAUCACAAAUGAAAAAACUCAAAACUAGAAAGUUGUAGAUCUCGUCGAAAAAAUAUCUUCAUUUUACUUGUAGAUAUGGUUUUCAUAUAAAAAAGUUGUAGAAAAAUUGGCGCCAAGCUAAAGACAAAGGGGGUGUUUGGUUUGAAGAGUCGAUCCAUUUUAUAUGAGAUGGUGCAUCAUGAGUUAUUCCACAUUGGUUAUGAGGAAUGAAAUGGUGAUGGAUCAAGUCAUACCAUUCUACAAACCAAACAAAAAAGUAAGGAGUGUGAAAAUGAUGGGCUAUAUCAUUUCCUCAAACCAAACACGCUAAAAGUGUAGCAUGUGAUAAAGGUCAGCGCAGGUCUUCAGCCUAUCUCUUAUAGACCGGCUAACAGGUGACCAUGCAAGUAGCCAAGUAGGGAUGAAAACGGUACGAGAGAGUCCCGUACUGUCCCGUUUCAAAUAUCGUUUUUUCCCGUUCGUUUUCGAAUUGUUUGGGAACCGAUUAGAAACGGUACGGAAACAAUUUGGCUACUUUUCCGAUCGUUUUCGUAUUUUCCGUCUUUGAGUCGUGAUGUUACCGUUUUUAUAUAAUAUGAGAUAGAACUAGCGUAUAAUUUAUGUAAGUUACAGACUUUUAUUGUUCAAGUGAAUGAAGAAGAGAAAAACAAAAAGUUAUAAUUACUCUGAAUAAUAUGAAUGAUGAAGAAGAGUUAUUUGUUAUUGUAAUAUCUUAAAAAUUAGGCAAUAUGUCACUUUAUUACGUAUUUGUGGAAACUACAAAAUAUUUAUCUUUCCGAUUAGAGUUUAUCGUUUUCAAAUAACCGUCAUACCGUACUCGACCGUUGGUUUUUCGUUUUCGUUUUCGUCCCGUUAAGAAAAUAUGAAAACAAAAUCAUUUCAGAUGUUUUUUUGGAUCGUUUUCGACCGUUUUCAUCCCUACAAGCAAGCUUAACUACAAUACACUAGACGGCCUAACCUUAUCCAAGGUCCAGCUCUAAAUUUUGACCAUCGAGCGUUGGUGCCCUCUAUCUGCGCAGCCACCGACAAUUCAUAUGAGCUGCCCAUUGAAACCCGUAUUCACGCAAAAGUCAAACCCCAGCGGCGUUGACAAAUGACAAAGACCAACGCCGCAAAGACAGCAUUGCCCGCUGCCAUCAUCCACUCGCUCUCAGCAUCAAUCCUGGACCGGUAACGGAGCACGUCGCCCAUCGAUCGAGCGCGCAGCAACGUCCACAUUCGAAGGGCGGAGAGAAUGGAAGAACUGACCUGUGGCUCGAGCGGCGAGGCGUGUGACUGAGGCGAAGGAGGUGGGCAAGGGGAUCUCGUGAUGUGAUU
rnacentral:lncRNA from 7 species